rnacentral:lncRNA from 1 species
AUGGAGUAUUUUCUAUGGUAUGUGGUAAAAAGUUUUGACAUGAUUCAGAGUCACAGAAAAAAGGAUGAGACAGGAUGUGUCCUGAGAGUCAGGUGUGAAUCAUAUUCCAGCCACAAAAACAAGGAUUUUGAAACUUGCCUCAGGCCACAGAAAAAGGCCUCACAGCUGGAUGACAGCCCCUCCAUAGAGUGUUUCUUCCUAGAAGCAGGAGUACAGUGUCCAGCAUUACUCUGGGGCCUCAGUAAGCAUUCACCAAGAGAGCUAGUGGGUUUGGAGGCGCCAACCUUCACAGAGGGCAACUCUUCUACUCUUCACAGCAGCCAAGAUCGUGGGAAGGUGGAUCAGGCCAAAGUGAAACCCAACAUCUAUAUCACAUAG